AUUGAACGCUGGCGGCAGGCCUAACACAUGCAAGUCGAGCGGAUGAAGGGAGCUUUCUCCUGGAUUCAGCGGCGGACGGGUGAGUAAUGCCCAGGAAUCUGCCUUGUAGUGGGGGAUAACGUCCGGAAACGGGCGCUAAUACCGCAUACGUUCUGAGGGUGAACGUGAGGGAUCUUCGGACCUCACGCUAUCAGAUGAGCCUAGGUCGGAUUAGCUAGUUGGUGAGGUAAAGGCCUACCAAGGCGACGAUCCGUAACUGGUCUGAGAGGAUGAUCAGCCACACUGGAACUGAGACACGGUCCAGACUCCUACGGGAGGCAGCAGUGGGGAAUAUUGGACAAUGGGCGAAAGCCUGAUCCAGCCAUGCCGCGUGUGUGAAGAAGGUCUUCGGAUUGUAAAGCACUUUAAGUUGGGAGGAAGGGCAGUAAGUUAAUACCUUGCUGUUUUGACGGUACCAACAGAAUAAGCACCGGCUAACUUCGUG
rnacentral:rRNA from 1 species